GUCAAGAUGUUCACUCAUUUCAAUAUACUGUCUAGUUACAUGUAUAGUACGAUUACCAUAUGGAACCCACGAAAUUGGUAAAGAGAAAAAAAACAUUAUCACAGCAAUGAACACCAGAAUUCCUUCUACGGAGGGCACAGUAUUGCCUCUAUACCUAGCUACCUCCUUGUAAGUAUGGAUAUUACCUGGCACUGAGAGGUCAGAAACAGAGGAGGAAAAUAAAGAGGGUGAAUUUGCUGGUUUUCAUCCCAGCAGGAAAAGGGAAAGAAUAGGAGGGGAAAAAAAGGGAUGUGAGGCCAGAGGAGAGGUGAGAUAAAGCUCCCCUUCCACUCAAGACCACAUGAUGCUGAAACAGACUAGGAACGUUCCUUCCUGGCCCUCUGUGGGAACAGUUGUGCUGCCCGGUGUGCCACUCCUCUACUUCCCUUCAGAAACCUCCACUGAAGUCUAUGAUAUUUUCUUUGUGUGUUUUUGUCUUUCACAGAAGUCAAACAGAAGCCUAUAUUGGUGUGGGGCAAACAGAUCAGUGGUGUGGAACUUCUGGGGGUUCAGAGAAGGCCAGCCUUCCUAGAAACCAAGAGAAACCUCGAUGGAAGAGGGGAGGCUUUGGGCUUGCACAGGCCGUGGCUCUGUGGGAUGUGAGUCUACUUGGUCCACAUUAUAAAGGGCUGGCAAAUGUUACCUAACAACCAGGAUACACGCUCAACAAGAAGACCAAAGAAGACGUGGAAGUCAGACUAGCUAGUAUUAGGAAGGUGAGAUUACCACUGUUGUUUCCAUGGAGACUCUCUUUGUUAUAGGUCAUAAUACAAGAAAGGUUUUAAAAUGAGGAAAAUAUCUAUAAUCUGGAGAGGAUCCUCACUUACAAUGGGGUCACAGCUGGAUAAACUCAUUAUAAAUUGAAAAGACAUACUACUCCCCGGCUGUACUCUAUACCCCACAGAACUGCUGCAGCCUGAGCCCUACUGAAUUUGGUGCUGCUCUUCUUGACCAACUUACAAGUAAUCCAAAGUUUACAGCAUUCCCAUCAGCAACGCUGAAGGCCUCCAACCUCAGUGAUGCUGAAAGCCUGCAGAAAAACUGUACCUACUGCCCCGGAAUCCUAGAAGCUAAUGGACAGAAUCUAACAGGAGCUAGGGGAGCCACAGGCCUGGCCACUGCUCCAUGCCAACAAUGUGACAUAGCAGAUCAGCAACAACGUGUGGUGCUGGAACAGAGCCUAGAAUCAUCACCAGCCUUUAGACAGAAAAGAUAUACAGGCAGCGGCACCACUGAGCUAAAUCCUCGGCCCUGUUGUUUUUUUAACAAGAAGAUUCAAAUGUGUUUGAGGCAAAGAAAGCCUGAGGAUCACAGAAAGGGGAGGAAAAACUGGAGUGAAG